rnacentral:rRNA from 1 species
UACGGGGGGGGCAAGCGUUGUUCGGAAUUACUGGGCGUAAAGGGCUCGUAGGUGGUCAACUAAGUCGGACGUGAAAUCCCUCGGCUUAACCGGGGAACUGCGUCCGAUACUGGAUGACUUGAGUUCGGGAGAGGGAUGCGGAAUUCCAGGUGUAGCGGUGAAAUGCGCAGAUAUCAGGAGGAACACCGAUGGCGAAGGCAGCUCACUGGGACGGUACUGACGCUGAGACGCGAAAGCGUGGGGAGCA